CCCUUAGAUGUUCUGGGCCGCACGCGCGCUACACUGAUGCAUUCAACGAGCCUAUCCUUGACCGACAGGUCCGGGUAAUCUUUGAAUCUGCAUCGUGACGGGGAUAGAUUAUUGCAAAUAUUAAUCUUCAACGAGGAAUGCCUAGUAGGCGCAAGUCAUCAGCUUGCGUCGAUUACGUCCCUGCCCUUUGUACACACCGCCCGUCGCUCCUACCGAUUGGGUGUGCUGGUGAAAUGUUCGGAUCGGCCGUUUGUCGCGGUUUCCGCGUCAUGUGGCUGAGAAGUUCAUUAAACCCUCCCACCUAGAGGAAGGAGAAGUCGUAACA
rnacentral:rRNA from 1 species